UGUGGGAGGGGGCUUGCCCCCGAUAGCAGUGGAUCAGUCAGCACAUUGGCUACUGAUAGACCGCUAUCGGGGGCAAGCCCCCUCCCACA
rnacentral:misc_RNA from 1 species